rnacentral:rRNA from 1 species
AUUGAACGCUGGCGGCAGGCCUAACACAUGCAAGUCGAACGAGUGGCGGACGGGUGAGUAAUGUCUGGGAAACUGCCUGAUGGAGGGGGAUAACUACUGUAAACGGUAGCUAAUACCGCAUACCAUCGGAUGUGCCCAGCGGGGAUUAGCUAGUAGGUGGGGUAAAGGCUCACCUAGGCGACGAUCCAUAGCUGGCCUGAGAGGGUGACCGGCCACACUGGAACUGAGACACGGUCCAGACUCCUACGGGAGGCAGCAGUGGGGAAUAUUGCACAAUGGGCGGAAGCCUGAUGCAGCCAUGCCGCGUGUAUGAAGAAGGCCUUCGGGUUGUAAAGUACUGUCAGCGGGGAGGCGUUACCCGCAGAAGAAGCAACGGCUAACUCCGUGCCAGCAGCCGCGGUAAUUC